rnacentral:misc_RNA from 1 species
ACCAAAAGCAAAAACCUCCACAACCUCCGUUUCCACGCGCACACAAAUGGAGUCGUUCUUGCGAGCCUGGACUGGUCAGGACCCAAACCCUGACGAUUACAGCAACAUUCAAUUCUGGUCCAACCCUGAGAGGUCCGGUUGGCUCAUGAAGCAAGGCGAUUACCUCAAGAAUUGGCGCCGCCGCUGGUUUGUCCUCAAGCAAGGCAAGCUCCUUUGGUUUAAGGACAACCGCGUCCUCAGCUCCUCAAUUCCUCGUGGCGUCAUUCCCGUCGGCAACUGCUUGACUGUGAAAGGUGCUGAAGACGUCCUCAAUAAGCCUUUCGCCUUUGAGCUUUCUACAAGCCAAGACACCAUGUUUUUUAUCGCCGAUUCUGAGGUGGAGAAGGAAGAGUGGAUCAAUUCGAUUGGGAGGUCCAUUGUGCAGCACUCCAGGUCUCUCACUGAUUCUGAGGUCGUUGAUUACGAUAGCAAGCGGUGAUUUUGAAUAUACUUGCUUCUGUUUCUUGUAUAAACAACUACUCUGCUUCUUAUUGUCGUUUGGUAUCUUACAUAUUAUGCGUGUGUGUUUCACGUAUGAAAUUUUCUGCUUUCUUUAAUUGGAGGGUUUUUUUUUUCUUGUGCGAUUUUGCUGUUUGUUGAGGAUUGCUCUGAUCCCAUUUGCAUUUUUCUUCUUUUUGAUUUGGUUUUUUUGGACUCGAUUAUGUUUGUUUCUUUUGUUUUGCAAUUUAAAUACGCAUUUUGUUAUUGAAUUUAUGAUUUGUUAAAGAUUCAAGGGGUGAAUGAUUUACCUUAAUUGAUGUGUUAGGAAGAUUCUUCUUUUCUUGUUAGCGUAAUUAUAUUGAGUCUAUAAAGAAAAGGUCUUUGUCCAAGGAUCGUGUUAUUUAUGGAUAAAGCCUCCAGG